rnacentral:rRNA from 1 species
CAGCAGCCGCGGUAAUACGAAGGGGGCUAGCGUUGCUCGGAAUGACUGGGCGUAAAGGGCGCGUAGGCGGCUUGACAAGUCUUGUGUGAAAUCUAUGGGCUCAACCCAUAGUCUGCACGGGAAACUGUCGGGCUUGAGAAUGGGAGAGGUGAGUGGAAUUUCCGGUGUAGCGGUGAAAUGCGUAGAUAUCGGAAGGAACACCUGUGGCGAAAGCGGCUCACUGGACCAUUUCUGACGCUGAUGCACGAAAGCUAGGGGAGCAAACAGGAUUAGAUACCCCGGUAGUCCCUGUCUCUUAUAC